CCUACGGGAGGCAGCAGUGGGGAAUAUUGGGCAAUGGGCGCAAGCCUGACCCAGCAACGCCGCGUGAAGGAAGAAGGCUUUCGGGUUGUAAACUUCUUUUGUCAGGGAAGAGCAGAAGACGGUACCCCUUGAAUAAGCCACGGCUAACUACGUGCCAGCAGCCGCGGUAAUACGUAGGUGGCAAGCGUUGUCCGGAUUUACUGGGUGUAAAGGGCGUGCAGCCGGAGAGACAAGUCAGAUGUGAAAUCCACGGGCUCAACCCGUGAACUGCAUUUGAAACUGUUUCCCUUGAGUGUCGGAGAGGUAAUCGGAAUUCCUUGUGUAGCGGUGAAAUGCGUAGAUAUAAGGAAGAACACCAGUGGCGAAGGCGGAUUACUGGACGAUAACUGACGGUGAGGCGCGAAAGCGUGGGGAGCAAACAGGAUUAGAUACCCUAGUAGUC
rnacentral:rRNA from 1 species